rnacentral:rRNA from 1 species
UGGGGAAUUUUACACAAUGGGCGAAAGCCUGAUGUAGCAACGCCGCGUGGAGGAUGACGGAUUUAGGUCUGUAAACUCCUUUUAUAGGGGAAGAAAUUUGACGGUACCCUAUGAAUAAGCACCGGCUAACUCCGUGCCAGCAGCCGCGGUAAUACGGGGGGUGCAAGCGUUACUCGGAAUCACUGGGCGUAAAGGGAGCGUAGGCGUUCUAUUAAGUCUUGAGUGAAAGCCCGCAGCCUAACUGCGGAACUGCUCAGGAAACUGAUAGAAUUGAGUAUGGAAGAGGUCAGUGGAAUUUCCAGUGUAGGGGUAAAAUCCGUAGAUAUUGGAAGGAAUACCAGAAGCGAAGGCGACUGACUGGGACAUUACUGACGCUGAGGCUCGAAAGCGUGGGGAGCAAACAGG